GGAUUAGAUACCCUGGUAGUCCAUGCCGUAAACGAUGAUAACUAGCUAUUGGCGAUACACAGUCAGUGGCAAAGCGAAAGCAUUAAGUUAUCCACCUGGGAAGUACGGUCGCAAGAUUGAAACUCAAAGGAAUUGACGGGGGCCCGCACAAGCGGUGGAGCAUGUGGUUCAAUUCGAUGCAACGCGAAGAACCUUACCUGGGCUUGAACUGUGGGGGACCGUCCUAGAAACGGGGCUUCCACUUCGGGGGCCGCCACAGAGGUGCUGCAUGGCUGUCGUCAGCUCGUGCCG
rnacentral:rRNA from 1 species